CCAAUCCCUAAGUCAUAGUUUUCCGCCUACCAUCCCCAACUCCUCUCCAAGAUGGCGCCCGGGCGUGGUUUAUGCAACCUCAUAAUGGGAGUGCAACCCUGGGGCUCACAGACAGAAAGCCAGGUCAGUGCUGGUGUCAAAAGCAACAGCCAUGAUCCACCUAAUUGCAGACUGACCUGCUAGAGCUGGCAUCUGAAGUCUGCAACCAGUGAAACUUGAGGUCCAGUUUGCAAGCCUGUGGUCUUACUGAGGAGGUCAAGUACUUGUCCUCUGGGAUAAUUAACUUGUUGGAGGUAAGAAGCAAACCUUCUAGCAACUUCACCCUUGGAGUCCGAGAAGGACGGGAAAUUCCCCUGGAAGCCCAGAAAGAACCGAGGCCAAACUCUGGGCUUUUUCUGAGCAAACAUUUUGAGAGAAACCAAAGUGAUGAUGAUGUGGAAGAACGGCCGGGGCUGUCCCCGCGAACAGCAGUGAGGCUUAUGAAAACACAGGGAUUAGUACCGAUGAAUCAUUGCCAGUCCUCUCCCUGACAGCGCUGGCUAGGGGCGAGCCGAGAAAUACCGGAUCUCCAAAAGCGCUGACGAGUUACCCACUAGGCCUGGGAGGUGGAUGGCUUUUGAAAUUGGUGGGAGGAGAAAGCGGGGAGUGAAGACACGGAGGCGUAACCCCCCUCCCCUUCCAGAAUUCAC
rnacentral:lncRNA from 1 species